GGCCUCUUGGCCUUUUUCACAGGCUGAAUUCUUAUAAUGACUGUGCAGAAACAGGAGACACAGUAACUGACCCACAUAUGCCUCAGCCUACACUCUAUGUCUGACCUGAAAUGUGAAAGUGGAGACAUGA